CGUUAUGCGACUAACUUCGUUCAGGUGAUGUUUAUUAAGCGAAUUCCAUCACUGGGCAAAGUUUGUCGCAUAAA
rnacentral:pre_miRNA from 1 species